rnacentral:rRNA from 1 species
AGAGUUUGAUCCUGGCUCAGAACGAACGUUAGCGGCGCGCUUAACACAUGCAAGUCGUACGAGAAAGGGGCAACCCUAGUAAAGUGGCGCACGGGUGAGUAACACGUGGGUAAUCUUCCCUCUGGCGGGGGAUAACCUUCCGAAAGGAGGGCUAAUACCGCAUAAGACCACGGAGCCGAAAGGCUCUGGGGUUAAAGCUG